rnacentral:tRNA from 1 species
UGCCGGGUCGUCUAAUUCGUAGGACACCGCCCUUUGAAGGCGGCUGUGCUGGUGCGAAUCCAGCCCCGGCAGCCA